rnacentral:rRNA from 1 species
AUUGAACGCUGGCGGCAGGCCUAACACAUGCAAGUCGAACGAGUGGCGGACGGGUGAGUAAUGUCUGGGACACUGCUCGCUGGAGGGGGAUAACUACUGGAAACGGUAGCCAAUACCGCCUACCAUCGGUUGUGGCUAGAUGGGAGGAGCUAGUGGGUGGGGUAACGGCUCACCAAGGCGACGAUCCCUAUCUGGUCUGAGAGGAUGACCAGCCAAACUGGAACUGAGACACGGUCCAGACUCCUACGGGAGGCAGCAGUGGGGAAUAUUGCACAAUGGGCGAAAUCCUGAUGCAGCCAUGCCGCGUGUAUGAAGAAGGCCUGCGGGUUGUAAAGUACUUGCAGCGGGGAGGCGUUACUCGCAGAAGAAGCACCGGCUAACUCCGUGCCAGCCGCCGCGGUAAUAC